rnacentral:rRNA from 1 species
GACGAACGCUGGCGGCGUGCUUAACACAUGCAAGUCGAACGGAAAGGCCCUGCUUUUGUGGUGUGCUCGAGUGGCGAACGGGUGUGUAACACGUGUGUAACCUGCCCUUGACUUUGGUAUAACUUCAGGAAACUGGGGCUAAUACCGGAUAGGAGCUCCUGCUGCAUGGUGGGGGUUGGAAAGUUUCGGCGGUGGGGGAUGGACUCGCGGUUUCUCAGCUUGUUGGUGGGGUAGUGGCUUACCAAGGCUUUGACGGGUAGCCGGCCUGAGAGGGUGACCGGCCACAUUGGGACUGAGAUACGGCCCAGACUCCUACGGGAGGCAGCAGUGGGGAAUAUUGCACAAUGGGCGGAAGCCUGAUGCAGCAACGCCGCGUGCGGGAUGACGGCCUUCGGGUUGUAAACCGCUUUCGCCUGUGAGGAAGCGUGAGUGACGGUAAUGGGUAAAGAAGCACCGGCUAACUACGUG